AGGGAAUAUUAGUAAUGGGCGAAAGCCUGAACUAGCAACGCCGCGUGUGCGAAGAGGGCCUUCGGGUUGUAAAGCACUUUUUGAGAGGAUGAGGAAGGACGGUACUCUCAGAAUAAGUCUCGGCUAACUACGUGCCAGCAGCCGCGGUAACACGUAGGAGGCGAACGUUAUCCGGAUUUACUGGGCGCAAAGCGCGUGUAGGUGGUUUGGUAAGUAGGGCGUGAAAGCUCCUGGCUCAACUGGGAGAGGCCGUUCUAAACUGCCGAACUAGAGGAUGGUAGAGGGAGGUGGAAUUCCGGGUGUAGCGGUGGAAUGCGCAGAUAUCCGGAGGAACACCAGUGGCGAAAGCGGCCUCCUGGACCAUUCCUGACACUCAGACGCGAAAGCUAGGGUAGCAAACGG
rnacentral:rRNA from 1 species